rnacentral:rRNA from 1 species
AUUGAACGCUGGCGGCAGGCCUAACACAAGCAAGUCGAGCGGAUGAGAAAAGCUUGCUUUUUGAUUCAGCGGCGGACGGGUGAGUAAUGCCUAGGAAUCUGCCUGUUAGUGGGGGAUAACUCGGGGAAACUCGGGCUAAUACCGCAUACGUCCUACGGGAGAAAGUGGGGGAUCUUCGGACCUCACGCUAACAGAUGAGCCUAGGUCGGAUUAGCUAGUAGGUAAGGUAAUGGCUCACCUAGGCGACGAUCCGUAACUGGUCUGAGAGGAUGAUCAGUCACACUGGAACUGAGACACGGUCCAGACUCCUACGGGAGGCAGCAGUGGGGAAUAUUGGACAAUGGGCGAAAGCCUGAUCCAGCCAUGCCGCGUGUGUGAAGAAGGUCUUCGGAUUGUAAAGCACUUUAAGUUGGGAGGAAGGGUAUUCACCUAAUACGUGGGUACUUUGACGUUACCAACAGAAUAAGCACCGGCUAACUCUGUGCCAGCCGCCGCCGUAACAC